AUACGUAGGGGGCGAGCGUUGUCCGGAAUGAUUGGGCGUAAAGGGCGCGUAGGCGGCUUUGCAAGUCAGUAGUGGAAGUCCAUUUUUCAAGGAUGGAAGUGCUACAGAAACUGCGGAGCUUGAGUGCAGGAGAGGUUAUCGGAAUUCCCGGUGUAGCGGUGAAAUGCGUAGAGAUCGGGAGGAACACCAGUGGCGAAGGCGGGUAACGGGACUGAAACUGACGCUGAGACGCGAAAGUGUGGGGAGCAAACACGAUUAGAUACCCUGGUAGUCCACGCUGUAAACGAUGAUGACUAGGUGUGGGGGGAAUGAACCCUUCCGUGCCGCAGUUAACACAAUAAGUCAUCCACCUGGGGAGUACGGCAGCAAGGUUGAAACUCAAAGGAAUUGACGGGG
rnacentral:rRNA from 1 species